GACAGUUUGGCCAAAUGAGUUUAAGUCACUAGAUUUAGGCCCUAGUCUAAAAGGAUGUGGGUUCAAAUCCCCACAACUAUUA
rfam:Picea glauca, whole genome shotgun sequence.